rnacentral:rRNA from 1 species
GCCGCCGCGGUAACACCGGCAGCUCUAGUGGUAGCAAUUUUAUUGGGCCUAAAGCGUCCGUAGCCGGUUUAAUAAGUCUCUGGUGAAAUCCUGCAGCUUAACUGUGGGAAUUGCUGGAGAUACUAUAGACUUGAGACCGGGAGAGGUUAGAGGUACUCCCAGGGUAGAGGUGAAAUUCUGUAAUCCUGGGAGGACCGCCUGUUGCGAAGGCGUCUAGCUGGAACGGUUCUGACGGUGAGGGACGAAAGUUAGGGGCGCGAACCGGAUUAGAUACCCGGGUAGUCCUAACUGUAAACGAUGCGGACUUGGUGUUGGGGUGGCUUUGAGCUGCUUCAGUGCCGAAGGGAAGCUGUUAAGUCCGCCGCCUGGGAAGUACGGUCGCAAGACUGAAGCUUAAAGGAAUUGGCGGGGGAGCACCACAACGCGUGGAGCCUGCCGGUUUAAUUGGAUUCAACGCCGGACAUCUCACCAGAGGCGACAGCUGUAUGAUAGCCAGGUUGAUGACUUUGCUUGACUAGCUGAGAAGAGGUGCAUGG